rnacentral:rRNA from 1 species
CCUACGGGUGGCAGCAGUGAGGAAUAUUGGUCAAUGGACGAGAGUCUGAACCAGCCAAGUAGCGUGAAGGAUGACUGCCCUCUGGGUUGUAAACUUCUUUUAUAUGGGAAUAAAACGUUCCACGUGUGGGAUUUUGUAUGUACCAUAUGAAUAAGGCUCGGCUAACUCCGUGCCAGCAGCAGCGGUAAUACGGAGGGUCCGAGCGUUAUCCGGAUUUAUUGGGUUUAAAGGGAGCGUAGGUGGAUUGUUAAGUCAGUUGUGAAAGUUUGCGGCUCAACCUUAAAAUUGCAGUUGAAACUGGCAGUCUUGAGUACAGUAGAGGUGGGCGGAAUUCGUGGUGUAGCGGUGAAAUGCUUAGAUAUCACGAAGAACUCCGAUUGCGAAGGCAGUUCACUGGACUGCAACUGACACUGAGGCUCGAAAGUGUGGGUAUCAAACAGGAUUAGAUACCCCAGUAGUC